GACGAACGCUGGCGGCGUGCUUAACACAUGCAAGUCGAACGGUGAAGCGCCUUCCUUUUUGGUGGGUGUGGAUGAGUGGCGAACGGGUGAGUAACACGUGAGUAACCUGCCCCCUUCUUCUGGAUAACCGCAUGAAAGUGUGGCUAAUACGGGAUAUUCUGGGUCUGUCGCAUGAUGGGUCUGGGAAAGAUAUUGUUUCGGUGGGGGAUGGGCUCGCGGCCUAUCAGCUUGUUGGUGGGGUGAUGGCCUACCAAGGCGGUGACGGGUAGCCGGCCUGAGAGGGUGGACGGUCACACUGGGACUGAGACACGGCCCAGACUCCUACGGGAGGCAGCAGUAGGGAAUAUUGCACAAUGGGCGCAAGCCUGAUGCAGCGACGCCGCGUGAGGGAUGGAGGCCUUCGGGUUGUGAACCUCUUUCGCCAGUGAAGCAGGCCUGCCUCGUUUGUGGGUGGGUUGACGGUAGCUGGAGAAGAAGCGCCGGCUAACUACGUG
rnacentral:rRNA from 1 species